GGAACGCUCUUGCUCAUCUUCAGC
rnacentral:siRNA from 1 species